ensembl:misc_RNA Metazoa_SRP Metazoan signal recognition particle RNA
GCCGGGUGCGGUGGCAUGCGCCUGUAGUCCCAGCUACUCGGGAAGCUGAGGCAGGAGGAUUGCCUGAGCCCAGGAGUUCUGGGUUGUAGUGCGCUAUGCCGAUCUGGUGUCCGCACUAAGUUUGGCAUCAAUAUGGUGACCUCCUGGGAGCGGGGGACCACCAGGUUGCCUAAGGAGGAAUGAACCGGCCCAGGUUGGAAACGGGGCAGGUCAAAACUCCCGUGCUGAUCAGUAGUGGGAUCGUGCCUGUGACUAGCCACUGCACUCCAGCCUGGGCAACAUAGUGAGACCCCGUCUCUU